GACGAACGCUGGCGGCGUGCCUAAUACAUGCAAGUUGAGCGAUGAAGAUUGGUGCUUGCACCAAUUUGAAGAGCAGCGAACGGGUGAGUAACGCGUGGGGAAUCUGCCUUUGAGCGGGGGACAACAUUUGGAAACGAAUGCUAAUACCGCAUAACAACUUUAAACAUAAGUUUUAAGUUUGAAAGAUGCAAUUGCAUCACUCAAAGAUGAUCCCGCGUUGUAUUAGCUAGUUGGUGAGGUAAAGGCUCACCAAGGCGAUGAUACAUAGCCGACCUGAGAGGGUGAUCGGCCACAUUGGGACUGAGACACGGCCCAAACUCCUACGGGAGGCAGCAGUAGGGAAGCUUCGGCAAUGGACGAAAGUCUGACCGAGCAACGCCGCGUGAGUGAAGAAGGUUUUCGGAUCGUAAAACUCUGUUGGUAGAGAAGAACGUUGGUGAGAGUGGAAAGCUCAUCAAGUGACGGUAACUACACAGAAAGGGACGGCUAACUACGUG
rnacentral:rRNA from 1 species